rnacentral:rRNA from 1 species
UUACGGCCAUAUCACGCUGAAAACACCGGUUCUCGUCUGAUCACCGAAGUUAAGCAACGUCGAGCCUGGUCAGUACUUGGAUGGGUGACCGCUUGGGAAUACCAGGUGCUGUAAG